UACGAAGGGGGCUAGCGUUGCUCGGAAUCACUGGGCGUAAAGGGCGCGUAGGCGGCCAACUAAGUCAGACGUGAAAUCCCUCGGCUCAACCGGGGAACUGCGUCUGAUACUGGAUGGCUUGAAUUCGGGAGAGGGAUGCGGAAUUCCAGGUGUAGCGGUGAAAUGCGUAGAUAUCUGGAGGAACACCGGUGGCGAAGGCGGCAUCCUGGACCGAGAUUGACGCUGAUGCGCGAAAGCCAGGGGAGCAAACGGG
rnacentral:rRNA from 1 species